GCCGUCAUCGAUGACAAAUUAACAUAGAAACUACACAAUCAUAAACUCUGGAUAGAGAACCUGCAUAUAAACCCAGAGCAGCUGCUAAGCAAAGAGGAAAUACAAAGAAAAUCCACUCAGGCAAAUCAGACAAUGAGUUCCCAGAGUGUAAAACACAUCUCAGAGUGCUUUGUCCAGCCACAGCAUGCUUCAGAUGAAUCAAAGCAGCCCUUAUACUUGGCACCCACCGAUCUUCCCAUGCUCUCUGCCCACUAUAUCCAAAAAGGUCUUCUUUUUGCCAAGCCCCCAGAAGCCAUGAAUGAUCACAAGAAGGCAGAUUUCAUUAAUGCUUUGCUGGAAAAGCUCAAGCACUCUCUCUCCCUGGCCCUUGUUCAUUUCUACCCACUUGCAGGUCGCCUUGCAACAAAGAAAGAAGAAAACCCACCUCUCUAUUUGGUUUAUAUAGAUUGCAACAACAGCCCUGGAGCUAAAUUCAUCCAUGCAACUCUAGACAUGUCCAUCUCUGACAUCCUUUCACCAACUGAUGUGCCUUUGGUUGUUCAGUCGUUUUUUGACCAUGACAGAGCAGUCAACCAUGACGGGCACACCAUGUCUUAGCUAACAGCUCAGGUCACGGAGCUGGUGGAUGGCAUCUUCAUAGGGCUUUCCAUGAACCACUGCCUUGCUGAUGGUACCUCUUACUGGCAUUUCUUCAACACUUGGUCUGAAAUCUUUCAGGCACAAACACAAACACAUGGCAGUCAAAACAAUAAUAUCAUACUGAAUAUCUCAAGACCGCCGGUCCUCAAGCGGUGGUUUCCAGAAGGUCACGAUCCAAUCAUCAGCCUCCCUUACACGCACCCAGAUGAGUUCAUUGGCAGAUUUGAAGCUCCCAAACUCAGAGAGAGAAUGUUUCACUUCUCCUCAGAAGCCUUAGCCAAACUCAAAGCAAAGGCCAAUGUAGAGGCUAACACAACCAAAAUCUCUUCCUUUCAGUCCUUGUCUGCCCUUCUCUGGCGCUGCAUUACCCGAGUGCGGCGUCUACCUCCGAGCCAGUCAACCAGCUGCAGGUUGGCUGCGAAUAACAGAGCAAGAUUAAACCCACCAUUGUCUGGAGAUUACUUUGGGAACUCAAUUCACCCAAUCAAAUCAGAAGUUGUGACCGCAGGUGAAUUGAUUGAACAUGGGCUUGGAUGGGCAGCGUGGAAGUUGCAUGAGGCUGUCGUUAACCUCGAUGACAAGUCGAUACGAGAGUUCAUUGAUGCUUGGUUGCAGUCUCGAAUGGUGUACCAAAUAGGCCAGUUUUUCGAUCCGCACAGUGUGAUGAUGGGAAGCUCCCCAUGGUUCAACAUGUACGGAAACGAAUUUGGAAUGGGAAAAGCAUUGGCCCUUCGAAGUGGAUAUGCAAAUAAGUUUAGCGGCAAAGUGUCAUCUUACCCGGGAGGCGAAAGAGGAAGCAUAGACUUGGAGGUUUGUCUUGUACCUGAUGCAAUGGGUGCUAUUGAAUGUGACCAUGAGUUCAUGGAAGCUGCCUCUGUAACCCAUUAUUAGUUUCAAAUUGUUGUAUGAAAAUCUUGCGUAGAGGAGAAGCAACACCUAUCGACUCAAAACCUCAAAGUAUAGCCUUCAAUUUCAUGAUGUCAAUUUUUUGGUAAAUUUGAGGUUUAGGUUUUUCUUUUUCUUUGAGAAGCAACAUUUAUCGAUGUUGUUUCAGUCAAUCUUUUGUUCAUUUUUUAAAAUAUUGUUUCGUGAACUGCGUGAGCACACUCACGACGGCGAAUAGCUUAUGUGACAGUCAUAUAGCGACGACAAUAUAGCUUAUGUGACGGGCAUAUAACUU